UACAGAGGGUGCGAGCGUUAAUCGGAAUUACUGGGCGUAAAGGGUGCGUAGGUGGUUGAUUAAGUCAGAUGUGAAAUCCCAAGGCUUAACCUUGGAAUGGCAUUUGAAACUGAUGAGCUAGAGUACAGAAGAGGGAAGUGGAAUUUCCGGUGUAGCGGUGAAAUGCGUAGAUAUCGGAAGGAACAUCAGUGGCGAAGGCGACUUCCUGGUCUGUUACUGACACUGAGGCACGAAAGCGUGGGGAGCGAACAGG
rnacentral:rRNA from 1 species